UGGGGAAUAGCCAAGUGGUAAGGCAGCGGUUUUUGGUACCGCGAUCGAAGGUUCGAAUCCUUCUUCCCCAG
rnacentral:tRNA from 2 species